rnacentral:rRNA from 1 species
GGCUCAGGACGAACGCUGGCGGCGUGCUUAACACAUGCAAGUCGAGCGGUAAGGCUCCUUCGGGAGUACACGAGCGGCGAACGGGUGAGUAACACGUGAGCAAUCUGCCCUUCACAUCGGAAUAACCAUUGGAAACGAUGGCUAAUACCGAAUACGACUUCGGACCGCAUGGUCUGAAGUGGAAAGCUCCGGCGGUGAAGGAUGAGCUCGCGGCCUAUCAGCUUGUUGGUGAGGUAAUAGCUCACCAAGGCGAUGACGGGUAGCCGGCCUGAGAGGGUGACCGGCCACACUGGGACUGAGACACGGCCCAGACUCCUACGGGAGGCAGCAGUGGGGAAUAUUGGACAAUGGGCGAAAGCCUGAUCCAGCAACGCCGCGUGAGGGAUGACGGCCUUCGGGUUGUAAACCUCUUUCAGCGGGGACGAAGCGAAAGUGACGGUACCCGCAGAAGAAGCACCGGCCAACUACGUGCCAGCAGCCGCGGUAAUACGUAGGGUGCAAGCGUUGUCCGGAAUUAUUGGGCGUAAAGGGCUCGUAGGCGGUUUGUCACGUCGGGAGUGAAAACUCAGGGCUCAACCCUGAGCGUGCUUCCGAUACGGGCAGACUAGAGGUAUGCAGGGGAGAACGGAAUUCCUGGUGUAGCGGUGGAAUGCGCAGAUAUCAGGAGGAACACCGGUGGCGAAGGCGGUUCUCUGGGCAUUACCUGACGCUGAGGAGCGAAAGCAUGGGGAGCGAACAGGAUUAGAUACCCUGGUAGUCCAUGCCGUAAACGUUGGGCGCUAGGUGUGGGGACCUUCCACGGUCUCCGUGCCGCAGCUAACGCAUUAAGCGCCCC